GGUUUCCUUCCGGUCGAUGAGGUAGAUGUACCUCAUCAACCGGAAGGAAACCCCUCCGAUUGAUGAGGUACAUCUACCUCAUCGACCGGAAGGAAACC
rnacentral:miRNA from 1 species